GGCAACAGCUUGGCGCCAAGGCAGGGAGUUGACGUCAACGGAGUCCGUGGUAGGGGCCCCGAAGCAGGGUCUGGAAAAGGGGGAUGGGAUGUGGGUGUGAAGGGAUGCAGCCCCCCCAAAAGAAAUCGAGGUGAAACAGAAAUACCUACUAAUGAUGCCCCAAUGCAAAAUCUGAGAAGAUAAAGGGGGAAAAAGGACAAGCGUAUAUUUGUCUAAAAAACGGGAAAAAAGAAAAAAAAAAAGCCGUGAAAAAUCGAGGCAAAAACAUACGUUGAGGUCUAACCACGAACGAUAAAGGUGGAAGAAAGGAGUUUUCUGCCUGCAACACCCAAGCACUAAGCUAAUUUCCUUAAUAAACGAAGAGAUAUUGGAAACCAUCAAGGGACAGACAAAGGCAAACCAAAAAAAAGGGGGGGGGGGGCAAAGAGACCGCAAGUCACAGGACAAUACAAAUGGCUGGAAGAAUCUUGACUUGACUCGGCAUAGCGAAACGCCAACCUGAGAUACCGGGUGAAGGCGGUUUAUGGCAGUGCGCUGAAUCGCAUGCUGUCACCACCGUUGCACGAAUCCACUGCGUAGACUAGCGAGAAAUUGCGAGGGGGGGGGGGUGAGUGCGUAGAUUACCAAGCCUGCUCCUGAUAGAAAUUUCGUCACCGGGAGAAAUAACGGGGUAUCGCUGCCAUAAAGGACCAAGAUCGUAAUAGAUUCAAGGAAAUAAAACGCAUUGCUGAAGUUUGUACAAACGGAACGCAGUUGUUGCUUCCGAGUGUACAGUGACAUUUGCCUGAGGCAGGACCUGUGACAUCGUAACAGUCAGAAGGCUCCAGCAGAUGAGAAUCCAGCUGUCUGCCAUCAAGUCUGGCACUGAAGAGAUUUGCAGAGAUGUAGAGUGAUGCUACCAGGUAGCCACAGCUGCUGUGUGUCCAUGAUUGCAUGCCAUGUCCAGAAGACGGUGUUUCAUGUCGCACCUCCCCACCCUACCAUCAGCCCUACGUCUUACGCAGUAACUCAGCUGUCCCCGUACAGGUCUUUCCCAUGCCUCCAUGUCUCCAUGGCUGUACCUGUGUUCCUGAUCACCUUUGUGUCUCCCUAACAUACUCCCGGACCUGAGUGGGAUUCUGAUGAACUCAGCACUUUGCGGCCUCGGGGGUCUUUUCAAGAGGAAAGUCGGAGGGCAUCACCUCCUUGCUUGAAACUGGCCAGUGCCCGUUAGGAUGAAGACCACGCCCCCUCUGCAUCCACCCGACGUUCCAGUAGGCUGCCAGCCAUCCCGCUGUUCCUGCUUCCCUGGCAUCGGUUUAUUUUGCCUUCUUAAGCCCCAGUGGAAUGGGUAGCCAUCCCACCAGUUCUGCCCCAGCCAGUCAAGUACUUGCUUCACAAGCAUGAGACCCUGAAUUCAACCCCCAACAUCCACGUUAAUAACAAACGAUCGAGCAAAAGCAGGGGGGUGGUGCCAUGCUCUUGUAAUCCCAGUGCUGGAGAACUGGAACAGUGGGGCCCCUGGGUCAGGCUAGUGAGAGACCCUGUCUUUAAAAAAAAAAAUGGUGACCAGUAACUGCACUGAGAAUAACAACUGAGUUUGUCCUUUGGCUUCCAUGAACACCCAAGGGCACCCCCAGCUCCACCACCCCUAUGCACACAGAGAGAUCAUAUCUUAGAGGAGAUAAUGCGUCCAGAGUCCUAGCAGAGGAAUCUCCCUAAGCCUGUUUUGUAAGCAUAGUUCAAAGUUUCCCGAAUUCCAAGCACUAUGCUUGGGCAACAGGAAUUUGCAAAACAAGGUCUCUGUUGUCCACAUCCAGCAAUUCCACUCCGGACAGACACCCAAAAGCAAUGAAAGCAGGGGGUCUUGAAGAAAUGUUCUUAUGCUUAUGUUCGUAGAAGUAUUACAUACGCUAAUUGGGGGGCAGAAGAUACCCAAGUGUCCAUGAGUACAUGAACAAAUAAACAAAAUGUGGCAUGCCCACACAGUGGGAUACUACUCAGUCACAAGAAGGGAGGAAAUGUGGAGACAUGCUCUAUGUGUGAGUAAAAGGCCAGAUACCAAAAAAGACAAACACUGUACGAUUCUAGUUGUUUCUGAUAGUUAAAUCUGUGGAUCUAGAAAUAAAGAUGGCGGUUCCAGGCAUUCCUGAAGCUGCUGACCCUGCCUCCUCUUAA